AUUUCAAGAAUUGUAUUGGGGUCUUUGCAACAGUGUCAAAAAAAUAAACGGACAAUACGGUUUGCAGCUGUUAAUCGGUCUGUUGCUAAAUGUCAUGGAUCUUGUCAUUACGCCAAAAAUGUUGAUAGUGAAAAUAUUUAAUCCUGAGCGUUUCGGGCCUAUCACCUUUGAUGUAAUAAUCAGUCUCACUCUUUGGUUAUCGUCUCAUCUUUGCUUUUUAUUUUUUAUGGUGAUACCUACUUCAUAUGCUGCCUCAAAGGCCGAAAAGACAGCAUGUAUUAUUUGUGAACAUUUAAACAUCUCUUUUGCUAAAGACGACAUAGCACAGUUGGAGUUAUUUAUCCUUCAACUGCAAAAGUUCAAGCUACGAUUUUCUAUCUGUGGAGUCAUUACGUUGCAAAGAUCUACAAUAACAACGGUGAUCGGAACAGUCAUUACAUAUCUAGUGAUUUCCAUCCAGUUUCUUAGGAGCUCAUAAUUUACGAAGGUCAUGGAAUUUAGAAUCAUUCGAUUAAUAUAGUAAUAAAGCUUUUCUAAUAUGUAGAAAAAUUGUUAAAAUGUAUUAUUUUUAAUGAAUUACCAUUAUAAACAUUACUGUAUAAUCAUUUUUUUGUUAAAAUGGUUAAUAUCUAUGCGUGUUUUGCUAUAGUUGC